rnacentral:misc_RNA from 1 species
GUGAGUCAUCGAAUCUUUGAACGCACAUUGCGCCCGCCAGUAUUCUGGCGGGCAUGCCUGUCCGAGCGUCAUUUCAACCAUCAAGCCCCGGGCUUGUGUUGGGGCCCUGCGGCUGCCGCAGGCCCUGAAAACCAGUGGCGGGCUCGCUAGUCACUCCGAGCGUAGUAGUUUACACCUCGCUCAGGGCGUGCUGCGGGUUCCGGCCGUUAAAAGCCUUAUUUUACCCAAGGUUGACCUCGGAUCAGGUAGGAAGACCCGCUGAACUUAAGCAUAUCAAUAAGCGGAGGA